rfam:Stegodyphus mimosarum contig12233, whole genome shotgun sequence.
GCCUGCGUGGUGUAGUGGUCAGCAUGAUCGACGCGUAACCGAGAGGUCCGUGGUUCGAUUCCCGGCGAAGGCG